UCCGUAGGCGGUGCGGCAAGUCGGGGGUGAAAUCUCUGGGCUUAACUCAGAGGCUGCCUCCGAAACUGCCGUGCUCGGGUGUGGGAGAGGCGAGCGGAAUUGCAGGUGUAGCGGUGAAAUGCGUAGAUAUCUGCAGGAACACCCGUGGCGAAGGCGGCUCGCUGGACCAUUACUGACGCUGAGGGACGAAAGCUAGGGGAGCAAACAGGAUUAGAUACCCUGGUAGUCCUAGCCCUAAACGAUCAGGACUUGGGGUGUCUCCCGUUCGGGAGACGUCCCGGAGCUAACGCGUUAAGUCCUGCGCCUGGGGAGUACGGUCGCAAGACUGAA
rnacentral:rRNA from 1 species